GAUAACCUGUGCAGCUUGUUUCAUAUAUUGUGGGAGCUUUGUUUGUUUGCUCCUUGUUUGGGUCCACAGUGCUUUUAUGAGCUGUAAUAUUACCUGCAAAGGUCUGCAGCUUAAGUCCUGAAGCCAGCGAGACUACGAACCCACCGGGAGAAAGGAACAACUCCAGAAGCGCCGCCUUAAGAGCUGUAACAGUCACUGCGGAAGUGUGGAGUUUCACUUCUGAGCCGGUGACCAUGAACCCACCAGAAGGAAGAAACGCGGAACACAUCAGAACAUUAGAAGGAACAAACUUUGGACACGUCGCCUUUAAGAACUGUGACACUCAACAUGAGGGUCCUCGGCUUCAUUCUUGAAGUCAGUGAGACUGAGAACCCACCAAUCCCGGACACAGGACUACAGGCAUGCACCGUCACGCAACGUUAAUUUUUUUUUUUUGGUAGAGACAGUUUUGUGAUGUUGCCCAGGCUGGUCUCCGGGGUUCAAGCCAUUUUUCUGUCUCAGCCUCCCAAAGUGCUGGAAUUACAGAUGCGAGCCACUGUGCUUGGCCUUCUGAGGCUCAGUGAGGUAACCCGACUCAUUAAACAUCACCUGACCCAGAUGACCUUGCAUGGUCAGAGGCUCAGCCAAGGCACCACACUGGGGUACUGAAGCUGAAUGAAAGCAGGCUGCAGAUUGGAUAACGGACUUCGGCAAAGAGUUAUGAAGGUGGAUUCCAUGAGGGCAGCUUUGGGAAGGGAAGAGGGCAGGAGAGGAGGGGUCGGCUCUCUGCAGGGAGAGGAGGGGUGGGUGGGAGACAUGUUCAGGAGAAAAAGAUGUCACAGACAUAGUGGUGGGCAGAAAGGAACUUCAGAGAGAGAGAGAUCCUAGGACAGAGGACAGUGGGGACUCUGGGGAGGCCUUGUAGAAGACAGCUUGAAGAACUGAGUCCAACCCUAAUAAUUAAGUUGGGCCUAGUACAAAAGCUAAUUGUGCUAGCCAGCCUCCAGGAUGUCCCACGUGACUCUCGCAUGUUGAUAUUUACACCUAUUGGUUAGACAUGCAGCCCUGCUCACGUAUUGAUAUUUAUAUUCUGAGCAUGGAUGGCGCAUGCCUGCAGUCCUAGUGACUCAGGAGGCUGAGUCAGGGGGACUGCUUGAGCCCAGGAGUUGGAGACUUCAGUGAGCUAUGAUUGUGCCACUGCACUCCAGCCUGGGCAACAGAACAAGACCCUGACUCCUGCAGAGGAGGGCUCCAUGUCCAACCAAUGGGAUGUACAAAAACGACAGUGUGACUUCCAAGGUCAGAUCACAAAAGUCCUUGAAGGUUUCACCUUACUGGAUCACUUGCUCUGGGGGAAGCCAGCCGCCAUGUGGUGAAGACACUCAAGCAGCCCUCUGGAGAAGCCCAUGUAGCAAGGAACUGAGGUCUCCUGCCAACUACCAGCGCUAACUUGCCAGCCUUGUGAGACCCCCAGAGAAGGAACCGCCCCAGCUAACCACCCACUCCAGAAUUCCUGACCCUCAGGAACUGUGUGAGAUCAUAAAUGCUGAUUGUUUCAAGCUGCUAAGAUUUGGGGUAAUUUAUUCCAUAGUAAUUGGAAAUUGUCUAAAUCUCUAUUUGUGGAAUUUUUCUUUUUUUCUUUUUUUUUUUUUUAAAGACAAGAUCUCCCUCUGUUGCCCAGGCUGGAGUGGCAUGGCAUGAUCAUGGCUCACUGAAGCCUUGACUUCUUGGGCUUAGGCAAUACUCUGGCCUCAGCCUCCCGAGUAGCUGGGACUACAGGCACACACCACCAGCUAAUAUUUUAAAAUUAUUUUUAUAGAGAUGGGGUCUUCCUAUGUUACCCAGGCUGGUCUUAAACUCUGGCCUCAAGUGAUCCUCCUGCCUCAGCUUCCCAAAGUGCUGGGAUUAUAGGUGUGAGCUACUGUGCUCAGCCACAUUUUUACUGGUGGAAUUUUUUUUUUUUUUUUUUUUUUGGAGACAGGGUCUGACUCUGUCACCCAGGCUGGAGUGCAGUGAUAUGAUAUUGGCUUACUGCAACCUCCGCCUCCUGGAUUCAAGCCAUCCUCCCACCUCAGCCUCCUGAAUUGCUGGGACUACAGGUGUGCACCACCACACCCAGUUAAUGUUUGCAUUUUUUGUAGAGAUGGGGUUUUGUCAUGUUGCCCAGGUUGGUCUCGAACUCCUGAGCUCAAAGCUAUCUGCCCACCUCGGCCUCCCAAAGUGGGAUUACAGGCAUGAGCUAUCCCACCCGGCCUAUUGAUGGAAUUUUAUCCUAACUGGUUUGCUGACCAGAAUACAGCAACUGGUUUGCUACACAGAAUGAAUGGUCUGUGGGUAAGGACAGUUCACAUCAGGUGCCCAGUUAACCAGCAUUGUAUGUCACUGAGUGCCACAAAGAGAGCCCAGUUCCACCCUCACUCUUUUUUUUUCUUUUUCUUUUUUUUUUUUUUUUGAGAUGGAGUUUUGCUCUUGUUGCCCAGGCCGGAGUGCAAUAGCGCACUCUGGGCUCACCACAACCUCCGCCUCCCAGGUUCAAGCGAUUCUCCUGCCUCAGCUUCUCGAGUAGCUGGGAUUACAGGCACGUGCCACCAUGCCCAGCUAAUUUUGUAGUUUUAGUAGAGACGGGGUUUCUCCACAUUGGUCAGGCUAGUCUCGAACUCCUGACCUCAGGUGAUCUGCCCACCUUGGCCUCCCAAAGUGCUGGAAUUACAGGCGUGAGCCACCGUGCCCGGCAUACCCCUUUUCUUUUAGAGUGAACGUCUUGUUCUGUUGUUCAGGCUGGAGUGCAGUGGCAUGACCAUAGCUCACUGCAGCCUCCAACUCCUGGGCUCAAGCAGUGCUCCCACCUCAGCCUCCUGAAUAGCUGGGACUACAGGCACACAUUACCAUACCCAGUUCAUUUUUAAAAAUUUUUAGUAGAGACAAGGGUCUCACUAUGUUGCCCAGGUUGGUCUUGAAAUCCUGGCCUCAAGUAAUCCUCCUGCCUGGGCCUCCCAGUGUGCUGCGAUUACAUGUGUGAGCCACUGAGCUUGGACCCCAUCCCUGCUCUCUUUCUUCCUUUCCUUUUCCUUUUCCUUUCCUUUCUGUCUUUCUUUCUUUUGUUUUUUUGUUUUGUUUUGUUU
rnacentral:lncRNA from 1 species